rnacentral:rRNA from 1 species
AGAGUUUGAUCCUGGCUCAGAUUGAACGCUGGCGGAAUGCUUUACACAUGCAAGUCGAACGGCAGCACGGGGGCAACCCUGGUGGCGAGUGGCGAACGGGUGAGUAAUACCUAGGAACAUGUCCAGUAAUGGGGGAUAACGCAGCGAAAGCUGUGCUAAUACCGCAUACGCCCUACGGGGGAAAGCGGGGGAUUCGUAAGAACCUCGCGUUAUUGGAGUGGCCUAGGCCUGAUUAGCUAGUUGGUGAGGUAAAGGCUCACCAAGGCGACGAUCAGUAGCUGGUCGGAGAGGAUGAUCAGCCACACUGGAACUGAGACACGGUCCAGACUCCUACGGGAGGCAGCAGUGGGGAAUUUUGGACAAUGGGGGAAACCCUGAUCCAGCCAUUCCGCGUGAGUGAAGAAGGCCUUCGGGUUGUAAAGCUCUUUCAGGAGGGAAGAAACGGUUGCGGUUAAUACCUGCGACUAAUGACGGUACCUUCAGAAGAAGCACCGGCUAACUACGUGCCAGCAGCCGCGGUAAUAC